ACGUGAUCUGAGUUCAGACCGGAGUAAUCCAGGUCGGUUUCUAUCUAUAAAGGGCUUUUUCUAGUACGAAAGGACCGAAAAAGCACGGCCCAUGCUAAAAGUAAGCCGCACUCAUAAUUUAUGAUUCAAACUUAAUAAAUACCCGACCUCCAACUUUAUUCUAGACAAGGAU
rnacentral:rRNA from 1 species